UUUCCGUAGGUGAAUCUGCGGAAGGAUCAUUAAAGUUAUAGUCCCCUGGCCCUCUGGGCUGGGGUCUUCUAUACCACCCUUUGUUUAUUACACCUUUGUUGCUUUGGCAGGCCUGCCCUCGGGCUGCUGGCUCCGGCCGGCGAGCGCCUGCCAGAGGACCUAAACUCUGUUUGUCCAUAAUGUCUGAGUACUAUAUAAUAGUUAAAACUUUCAACAACGGAUCUCUUGGUUCUG
rnacentral:misc_RNA from 1 species